rnacentral:rRNA from 1 species
GCCAGCAGCCAUGUCACCCUGCAAUUUACAACUGGCAACCCACUGAAGCUAAGCAGGUGUGAGCCUGGUCAGUACCUGGAUGGGAGACCUCCUGGGGAAAAAAACUAAGGUUGCUGCUGGAA